CUUGUAUCCCACAGAGGGACCAAGGCAUAUGCCUAUGAGGAAAAAGCCACAAAAGAGGCAAAGCAGAAAUAUUGGUUGACUGGGAGCCCUGUCCAAUAUGUGGCAAGGAGUGGGCCCAUUCCUGGCAGCCAAAUGAUUCUCUUCAAAUUAAUGAGAAGAAAUAAAAUGUAGAAUCUGAACUACAUUUUGGUUUCU